rnacentral:rRNA from 1 species
GAUGAACGCUAGCGGCAGGCCUAAUACAUGCAAGCCGAACGGUAAUCUUGAUAGCAAUAUUGAGACAAGAGUGGCGUAAGGGUGCGUAACACGUAUGCAAUCUACCCGCAACAGGAGGAUAGCUCCCCGAAAGGGGAAUUAACCCUUCAUGAGAUCACGGUCAGGCAUCUGAGAGUGAUUAAAUCUGAGGAGGUUGUGGAUGAGCAUGCGCUGAUUAGCUAGUUGGCGGGGUAACGGCCACCAAGGCGAUGAUCAGUAGGGGAACUGAGAGGUUGAUCCCCCACACU